UACAGAUCUGGCAGCACGAUCCCCAUUUUAUACCCUAACCUCGCCAGGAAAAAAUGCUCAAACGUCAAAUUCGAAUAAUCUUUCUUUACUCUCUAUUAGGUUAAAUUGCAUUUCUAUUUAAAUCACUGCUUGAGGAUUUCUAAAGAAAAUUUGGUUCCAAUAGUGGACAUUGUUGCAGCACAAGAUUUUAUGCACAGUAUUGGGCGAUGAAGCAGUAAAACACGCGGCGAGAGGUUGAGAAGCAAAGUCCCAGAAUCACGAUCCAACAGAUGAGUUUUUUCUUCCUCUGAUUGGCAAUUUUUGGAUUAAUGAGCAUUGUUGAUGCAAUUUUUAGCCAGGUUUGUGUCAAUGAUAAAGAAAAUUGCAUUGCAUUUAUUUAAUAUGGUGCAUAUUACAUUAGUGUUACAUGGAAUGACUUUCUACAGAAUUUCUUAUGUUGCCAUAUAAUGUUGGCAAUUCGGACCUCUGGGAUUAAGAAUGUAAGGUGAAUUCUUUAAACACCUUUUCAAUUGUUUGGUCAUGGUAUUCCAUAACGUACCUUGAGCUGAGCGAUAAUUUACUAAGUUGUUUCGCAAAACAAUGCGACUCUUGGAAUAUUUUAAAGAGUCAUUUGGUCGGGGGCAAUUACCAAAUUUUGAUGUAUUUGUCCAACUAUGAAGUCGUGGGAAUCCGCAUCCUUUGCCAGGACCAAGUGACAACAUAUAAACAAAGGAAGCACAUUUAUCUUUUAGAUGGAAAAUAAACAGUGGCCAUAGGCCAUAACUGAUAGAUGCCACCUGAUAGAUGCCACAUUAUUCUUUGAAACGGAUUUCGCUUGCUAAGGGCGAAUGUGCUACAGAUUAUGAUUUUUGAUUUUGUUAGGAAAAAUGGUUUCUAACUAUUCUUGAAAUGCAUCAGAUAAAUGUGUGGAUAAUGCAAGUAUAACCUCUCAAUGUUCUGGAAUUGCUUGUUAGUUUAUUAUGUAUUUAAGUUUUCUGCUGCAUUUUAUACAUGUAUGGCAUAACUAGGAAGAGCAAUAAACCACAGCAGGGCACCCUAUUAAGCAUGAAAGUUAUGAAGUUCUCUUCAUCAUGAUGUUAGUAGCGUUAGAUGCAUUAACUUUACUAAAUAGAAAUACUUCCAUGAGACAUGGAACAUCUUAUAUGUGCAAACACUUGUCAUAACAGUUAUAGUUGUAAAUUUGAGUUUUUAAUAUUGUUCCAUGUUUUGUAUUCAUAAGCAUAUACUAUAAAACAAAUUAAUGAUGGAUUAUUUCUAUUGAUUUGGCAUAUUUUAAAUCUUAUUAGGAGUUUAGAUUUAUAACAUGUCCAAGGAGGUAUGGCUAAAGCACACAUUCAAUGAUCACCUGAGAACAACCUCACCUCGCCGUUGAAAUAUCAAAGGUGAGGUCAAUGAGUAAGGUACUUCGUCUUGUGAUUUGCAGGCAUGGUGAGCAUAUCCCAUCAGGAGGGAAGUGCUCGUUACAUGUAAUAUUCUAGAGAUAAACGUCGAGCCUAAUACUCUUAAUAGAUUUGUAAAAAUUAUUGUUGAUGUUACUUGUAGGAAUAUCAUUGAAAGCCUCCCUAAGUGAGUGAUGGAAGUUAGACAACUUUCUUUGAGUUUGUGGCUUUAACUCUAAGAUUGUUAUGAUACGAGGAUAAAAACGCAAGGCCUUUAACAGAUUGACUUAUAUGAAUGCCAAGGGAUUAGAAGCCUUUGUGUGAAACACGUCUGGCUAGGUUAUAUAACAUCUGUAAUUCAAAGAUAAGUUUACUAUGCUUCUUUGGUUAGCUUUGAGAAGUUCAUAAGUAGAUGUUCAAGUUGAGACAUGCUCAUUUAUUCACGAAUUCCUUUGUUUGCUACAGUUAAGUUUUAUUUUGUAGUAGUGGAGAAUUGCUGGAACAAUUUCAUAAGUAAUAUAAAGGAAUUGGUUGGUUCAUAUAUAUAUUACAAGCUAAAUAGAUUCACAAGUGUCAUUCUUCAUGACUCUCAGGACUUCAAAAAGGUCCUAAAAUUUGGUAUUUCCCCUUACACUUUGGGAUGAUUCAGAUUGUAGGAGAUAGUUUUUCAAUUUUUGUUUCUAGUAUCAUACGGGUAAUACCUGUUAAUAAGCCAAUUCUCAUAAAAAGUCAUAGGAUGAAUCAUUGAAUCUGCACUCUAACUCCAAUAAGUCAUAUAUCACUUCAUUAUAUACAAAACAUACGAAAUUGUCUUUGAAUGAUUGAUAAAUAUAACAGCUAGUCUACUGCUGCUAAACCCUCAACACUGAGUUCCCAUAUGUAGGGAGCUCCACUCUGAUAAAAAUGAUUAACAAAUAAGAUUAUAGUCCAACACAUUGAACCACAAUUUGCUACUGUUUGUGAAUGCAAAUAAAUUCAACCAAUUAAAAGAUGCAUGUGCCUGUCGCACGCAAUCCAUUUCAAAGAAAUAAGUGCAAAUCAAAUGAGGAUACAUUGGUUUCAUCAGCUCAUACAGGCCUUUGAGGCUCUCUUUAAUUUCUGAAGCAAGACUCACCUCUGAGUCAUUUGGUCAUGGAGAUAGACACCAGAGACCUUUGCCAUUGUUGGAGCGAAAGGAAUAAAAUUUUGAAUACAAUCUGCUGGUUCCUGAACCAGUCCUAUUUUCCUCCAGGAUCUGGUCGAUAUAUUGUGCAUGUGGAUCUCUCCGUCUUCUCCUUUCUUUCUCAAAAGAAAAGACAGUCUUUUGCCGUCAAAAAACAUUGGAAUACCAUACCUGUAGUCAUUGUUUCCUGUGUUACUUAUAUUUUCAAUAAUAUGCCUGAUUUUCCAUUCUUUGUUUUCAUAAUGAUAAAUAGAGAUGACAUUUUCUUCUUGAAAAGCACUCACAAAUGCAAGCGAACCUUGGACCCCACCAAACCAUAUGGCAUAUCCUAAGAAGCACCGACACGGAUACGAGUGUGAAAUGUGUUGGACACGCCGACACGUGAUUUUUUAAAAAGGUUCCGACACGAUAUGUCGCCAACACAUUGAUUACAUUUUUUAGUUUAUUUUAAUUUUAUAGUCUAAAGUAAUAAUUUUUUAUACUUAUUGAAUCAUAUAUAUAAUGAUAAAUAGAAAUCAAACUUGAUAUUAAAUUCAUAAAUGUUUCUUAAUAACAUAAGUUCAAAAAGUAAAACUAAAUUAACUACAUCAUUCAUCUUGAAUCUCUUCAACAUCUUCAUCUCCAUCCGCAAAUACUAUCGCCUCCAAUUCCGGUUCGUCUAGAGAUAAAUUAGCAACUUCAAACACACCAACAUCUUCAAAUGUAUCAAAUGGAUCUCCACCAAUGUCCCACAUUUUAGUCUCUUCUUGUGAGUAUUGCGCACUCCUCCUUAACAAGAGAUGAAGAUUGCUAUGGACGAAAACCAAACCUUUUGCACGUUUUGGAGUUAGCUUAUUUCGUUUAAGAGAGUGCAAAAAGGAAUAAGUACUACAAUUUUGCUCACAACACGAUGAAGAAGAUGGUUGCCCCAAUAAUUUCAAGGCAUAACUUUGAAGUAUAGGUGUGCAAGCACCAUAAAUAACCCACCUAGUCUUCGGGUCCAAGCAGUAACGAUCAUGGAUGGAUUCAAAAUCACCAAAGUCAUCUUCCAUAGUCGAGAAUUUGGCAUACUCCUUAUUCACCAUAUUACGCUUUUCAUUUGACAAGUACCUCUUACAAAAUUUUAUUCUUUCUUUUGAAAUCUCUACAUCUCUAUGUGGAGCAAGUCGAGUGGGAUCCUCAUUUAGCCAAUCCUCGCUAUAGUACCUAAACAAGACAAAAAAAUUAAAGAAAUAAUGCCCUUGUUUGAGCCCCAUUUUUUGGGAUAUAAUGAAUUUUUGAAUAGUGUAUUGAUGGGAAAUGUGUGGUUAAAAAAUAACGAAAAAUUUUGAAUUUACGUGUAAUAUUAUUUUAUUGAAAAGUGUGUGGUUGAAAUGAUGUCAAAACACUGUUGAAAAAUAUAUUUUUUCAAAAGAAUGAAGCUCAAACAAGGGCAAUAAUUCAUACAAUAACUAACGAAAAAUAUUAAAAAUUAUGAAAAUGUAAAUAAAAAAUAAAUGUAUGAAUUAGAUUUAAAAGUUACCUUGGAUUUAGAGAAUGAGACAAGCAAUGAAGUGAAGUGUAAUUUUUGUUCCAACGAUCUAUAAGUAUCUGAUGAACAACAUUGUAGAAUGAUGAUUCCUCUUCUUGAACUUUUUUCUCAUGCUUAUAAAUUAUUUCUCUCACUUUUCAUUCAUUGUAUCCCACAUGUCUUAAACCAAGUGAAGGCGAGGUUCAUCCAUAUCUUUCAUUCUACCAGAAUAAUCAACUACUUUUAAAAAUAUUUGUCCAUUCUCGGUCGUCACCAUAAAAUUAAUUAGUGGUCUUCUUUGUGGAUCACUCCAUUCAUCACUUACAAUGGUAUAUCCUUUUUCUGCCCAUGUGCCCUUAAUUGGAUUUAAUAAGCUUUCCACACUUUUUCUCUCUUUUUUAAGAAGAGUGGUUUUCAACUUGUUAUAACCGGGAGGCAGAUAUGCCGAAAUUCGAUUAUUGGAAGCAAGAGUAUAAGAACUAAUGUAAUAAGGAUUUCUUGCAAGAGUAAAAGUCAAACCACUUGAAUAAAACAUUCUAGCAAUUUCGGAAUCCAAUUGGUCACGUGUAGUCACAUUAAAAAUAUUUUCUAUUGCAUUAUUCUUUCUUUUCUUUUCCUCUAAAGUAUAACAAUCCUUAGCACUUAUAUCAUCCGACGGGAAUGACACUCUUUUCCCCGCCUUAGUUUUUAUUCUCAACUUUUCUUCAUCUUCCAUUUUUUGCAUUUUACUUGUAUCUUUCAUGUUUACUUUUCCACAAUCCCCAAUUCCAUAGCCUCGUAAUUUUAACAAAUGUGUCAUCACUCUUGUGUAUGAACUUGUCUUAGUUGCAUUACAAAAAUUGUAUUGCCAAAUAAUGUUACCACCCUUUUCAUUAAAUUUAUCAAGUUUUGUAACAUAUUUCCAAAGAGGUUUAGACAAAUUAUCAUUCAUAGCAUUACCACUCAUAACAUCAAAAGAAAAAUAAUUUCAAAUACUUAAAUAAGAUAGGAGUGUAUUACCCGAAACUUGAAAAAAUAUCUUCUUUUUGAUCUUGCAAAUGAUUCUUCAAAUGUGGAUUGAUGAAAUUUUUGAAAAAGAUGAAAUAACAAAGAAAAAUUGAAAUGGGUUUUUUGAAAUUUUCUUGCAAUUUUCGUAAGUAGCAGUGAGGAAGAAAAUGUGUUUGAGUUCUUAUAUAAGUAUGACUUUUUGUUGAAGGGUAAAAUGGUACAAAUUGAUUCAAAUAAAAUAUUCUAUAUUAUCUUAUCAAAAAUUACAACUGCGGAAAGAUACAAAACGUACAAGAUUUUACAAGUGAUGUGCCUUAAAAUUUAAAAUUUGCAUUGGUAAAGGGUGACUUUUCAUUUCUGGUAGUCUUUUCCUCUUCUCCUCUCUUCUUUCUUUUCUUCCCCAGACAAGUCAAUUCCAGUGGUUGCAGGAUAACAAUCUCUUCCUCUUCUCUAUUCUCUCUUUUUUCUUCCUUCCACAGACCGCCAAACUUCCGUCAGCUACAUUUCUUCCUCCCAUUUAUUUUUCUUUGUUGCUUCUCUUUAAGUCUGUUGCCCACCAAUGACUCUGACAUGCGUCGGCAACGUGUCAUAGGAAUAUCAGUGUCUAAUACAUGUCGGACACCGAUAUGUUGUCGCCGGCAGCAUGUCAGUGCUUCUGAGAUACCGUCCUUCAUGAAAACAUAGAAAAAUCAUUACACAACAAAACCAUGGGCAACUUGAAUAACGACAUAGUUCUUGAGGUGAUCUUGUGCUUUCGUCCAAGAGAUGCAGUUAGAUGUAAGAGCCUAAACAAGAAUUUCAAUGCCUAUAUCUCUAAUAAAAGAUUUGCACAUGAACACUUUGUUAAAUCGAUUCACAAAGUGUGUAACCUCAUUCACUUCUCGAAUACUUCUCCUAGCGUUUUUUACCAACUUCAGCUAGACCCUCCUUACCCUCUUGACAUGUUAGAGGUUUAUGAAAUCCUACCCAUUCAAGUUCCUAUAUUGGCCUUGUGUGGUGGCUUUCUUCUCUACAUUUUAAGAUACAGGAACUAUUGUGUGUUUUCAACCCUAUCAUCGGGGAAUUCCAAAUGGUGUCAAACAAAAAUCAUGAUGGCUGGAUUGUUGGGCCAGUUGGAAUGGCUGUUGAUUCCAGCACCGAUUCAUUUACAAUCAGAUUGAUAGCAAUCCAUGUAAAAGAAGACAAAUCCCAGGUGAAUCAAGUGUCUAAAUUCACAGCGUUUCCAGUUGGUUAAAAUAAGUGGGAAGAAAUCAAUAUAUAAUUUGUUUGCAAAUCAAGUAUGUUCAGCAUAAAUACUCAACCUGUUUACUUCCAUGGCUCAGAGAAGAUGGCGAUAUUCUUGCUUUCAACAUGAAAAAAUACCAAGCUAGAAUCAUUUAGGGACCUGGUCAGACAACCUCUAUAAUGCGUAUGACCUUAGAAGUACUGACACGCUGCUUGCGACAACAUAUCGAUGUCCGACACAUAUCGGACACUGAUACGCCUUUAACACGUUGCCAACGCGUGUUGGAGCCAUUGCUGGGCAGCUGACUUGAAGAGAAGCAAAAAAGAAAAAUAAAUGGGAGGAAGAAAUGCAACCGACAGAAGUCUGACGGUCUGGGGAGGAAGAAAAAGAGAAGGAAAGAAAAAAGAGAGAAGAGGAAGAGACUGCUGGCCUGAAAAAAUACAACCGCUGGAAUUGACUUGUUUGGGGAAGGAAAGAAGACAGAAAAGGAAAGAAAGAGAGAAGAGAAGAGAAGAGAUUGCUGGAAAUGAAAAGUUACCUUUUACCAAUGCAAAUUUUAAAUUGUAGGGCCCACCACUUGUAAAAUUUUGUACGUUUUGUAUCUUUCUACAGUUGUAAUUUUUAAUAAGAUAAUAUAUAAUAUUUUAUUUGAAUCAAGUUGUACCAUUUUACCCUUCAACAAAAAGUCAUAUAAGAACUUAAACACAUUUUCUUCCUCACUGCUACUUACGAAAAUUACAAGAAAAAUUCAGAAAAUCCAUUUCAAUUUUUCUUUGUUAUUUCAUCUUUUUCAAAUCAAUCCACAUUUGAAGAAUCAUUUGCAAGAUCAAGAAGAAGAUAUUUUUCAAAUUUCGGGUAACAUCUCUCCUAUCUUAUUUAAGUAUUUGAAAUUAUUUUUUCUUUUGAUGUUAUGAGUGGUAAUUGUUGUGCAUGUGGCUCAUAUAGAGUGAAACACAGUUCCUAGAUCAAAUGGGCCGAUGUCGGAGCGGAGUGUAGUGAGAGGAUAGGAGCGAUGGCAUCGGCCUUGUGCGGGUGGUGGGGGGACACUGAAUGGGUUGGGGGUGCUGGGGCAACGCCCUUGAGGUACGGUACGGGGAUAUUUCUUGUACGGGUCUUAAAGUCUUAUAUGGGCCCUGGCUAGGGUUAAUAUAAAUAAUAUGUUGUAACCCUAUUUUUUUACUACCGAAUAAAAUAAUCUCCGCUUUGCUCUCAUGGACGUAGGUACACCGUCGAACCACAUAAAUUCUUGUGUUGAUUUUCUUUUUCAUCUCUUUAAUAUUGCGCAUAAAAUCCAACAGUAAUGCUAUGGAUGAUGAUUUGUCUAAAUCACUUUGGAAAUAUGUUACAAAACUUGAUAAAUUUAAUAGAAAGGUUGGUAACGUUCUUUGGCAAUGCAAUUUUUGUAAUGCAACUAAGAUAAGUUCAUACACAAGAGUGAGCACAUUUGUUUAAACUACAAGCUAUGGAAUUGGUGCUUGUGAAAAAGUAACUGUGAAAGAUAUAUGUGAAAUGCAAAAAAUGGAAGAUGAAGCCAAGUUGAGAAUGCAAACUAAGGUGGGAAAAAGAGUGCCAUUGCCGUCGGAUAAUAUGGGUUCUAAGGAUUGUUAUGUUUUGGAGGAAAAGAAAAGAAAGAAUAAUGCAAUAAAAAAUUCUUUUAAUGUGACUACACGUGAACAAUUGGAUUCCGAAAUUGCUAGAAUGUUUUAUUCAAGUGGUUUGCCUUUUACUUUUGCGAGAAAUCCUUAUUAUAUUAGUUCUUAUACUCUUGCUUCCAAUAGUCGAAUUUCGGCGUAUUUGCCUCCCGGUUAUAACAAGUUGAGAACCACUCUUCUUAAAAAAGAGAGAAAAAAUGUGGAAAACUAAUUAUAUCCAAUUAAGGGCACAUGGGUGGAAAAAUGAGUUACCAUUAUAAGUGAUGGAUGGAGUGAUCCACAAAGAAGGCCACUCAUUAAUUUUAUGGCGGUGACCGAGAGUGGACUAAUAUUUUUAAAAGCAGUUGAUUGUUCCGAUGAAAUGAAAGAUUUGGAUGAACCUUGCCUUCACUUGGUUUACGACAUGUGAGAUACGAUGAUUGAGAAAGUGAGAGAAAUAAUUUAUAGGCAUGAGAAAAAAGCUCAAGAUGAGGAACUAUCAUUCUACAAUGUUGUUCAUCGGAUACUUGUAGAUCAUUGGAACAAAAAUAACACUCCACUUCAUUGCUUGUCUCAUUAUCUAAAUCCAAGGUAAUUUUUAAAUCUAAAUCAUACAUUUAUUGUUUUUUUUUCAUUUUCAUAAUUUUUAAUAUUUUUCAUUAGUUAUUGAAUGAAUUGUCAUUUCUUUAAUUUAUUUAUUUAUUUAUUUAUUUUAGGUACUAUAACAAGGAAUGGCUUAAUGAGGAUCCCACUCGACUUGCUCCACAUAGAGAUAUAGAGAUUUCAAGAGAAAGAAUAAAAUGCUUUAAGAGGUACUUGUCAAAUGAAGAGUGUAAUAUGCUGAAUAAGGAGAAUGCCAAAUUCUCAACUAUUGAAGAUGACUUAAGUGAUUUUGAAUCCAUCCAUGAUCGUUACUGCUUGGACCAGAAGACUUGGUGGGUUAUUUAUGGUGCUUGUACACCUAUGCUUCAAAGUUAUGUCUUGAAAUUAUUGGGGCAACCAUCUUCUUCUUUGUGUUGUGAGCGAAAUUGAAGUACUUAUUCCUUUUUACACUCUCUUGAACGAAAUAAGGUAACUCCAAAAUGUGCGAAAGAUUUGAUUUUCGUCCAUAGCAAUGUUCAUCUCUUGUCAAGAAGGAGUGCUGAUGCGAACCCGAUCAACAAGGUUGCAAUCGAACCCACAUGAUAUUGAAUCGGAUCCCAAGAACGCCAAUAUGACUAAGGUUUAUGGAUCUGACCCCAAAAUAGUGAACCAAGCAACCCAACAAGAACGUUGUUUGAAAGACCUCUUGAUCACACGAUUGAAGAAAUCACACCUGGGUUGUGGAUUUGAACCAAUAAAAGAUGAACCAAAAAAUCCAACGGUAACGUUGACGCGAAAGACCCUUUGAUUACACAAUUCAAUGAUUCAAUUCGAUGUUUUGAAUGCCAUAAGAUGAUUAGUCUUGAUAAGUUCGCCCCAUUCAAUUUAAUGAACAAGAUAAAUUUGAAGCAAAGCUUCGAAGAGGAAAAUCUCUCAUUAAUUCAUAAUCAAACUUAUUCCAGUGAAUCAUAAAACUCCUAUUUAUGCUAAAGAAUAUAAAACCUAAUUUAAAAAGGAAUAAACUCCUAAAAUAUUGUAAAACACGAAAUUAGAGUCCUAAUAAUAUUGAAGUUACCAAAAAUAAGAAAUUGACUCAAAACAAAUUUUCUCGCGCGGAAAUGAAAUUUUCUGGCCAAAAAUCACCUAUGCGACCGCGACAUGUAUUUAGCUGCGGUCGGAUGGCAUAUGGACUGCUGCCCGUGAAAUCCCUGCACCCUCUCAUGCGGCCGCACGAUGGUUUUAACCAUGCGAUCGCAUGGUUACUUGGUUUUUGCUCCAAACUCGAUUUUCUUCCAACAACUUGAUUCAAUUGGUUUUCAUCCUUUAACCUCAAUACAAAUCCUGGACUUUGGCUCGUUGACUCCACCAUAUCGAAAUUCAUAACUCGACCAUGCAUUUAUACGGGUUUGUUGGCCCGAACGAAGCUUGAAUCUUGUCCUUAGGUUCCCUCCAACAUACAUCAAAUCCUUGGUCGUUUGGCGCCCAAGCCAAAUCACAUCAAGUGCGCAAUACUCAAAAGAAGAGACUAAAAUGUGGGAUAUUGGUGGAGAUGCAGUUGAUACAUUUGAAGAUGUUGGUGUGCUUGAAGUUGCUAAUUUAUCUCUAGACAAACUGAAAUUAGAGGCGAUAGUAUUUGUGGAUGGAGAUGAAGAUGUUGAAGAGAUUCAAGUUGAAUGAUAUAAUUAAUUUCAUUUUUACUUUUUGAAUUUAUGUUAUUAAGAAACAUUUAUGAAUUUAAUGUCAAGUUUGAUUUUUAUUUAUUAUUAUUAUGAAUUAAAUGUCAAGUUUGAUUUUUAUUUAUUAUUACAUGUAUGAUUUAAUAAGUAUAAAAAAUUAUUACUUUAGAUUAUAAAAUUAAAAUAAACUAAAAAAAUAUUUUUGUAACCAACGUGUCAGCGACUUAUCAUGUCGUGUCGAAAGUUUUUAAAAAAAUUGCGUGUCGGCAUGUCUGACACGUAUCGAUACUCGUAUCUGUGUCAGUGCUUCUUAGCCAUCAACUAAUGCAAUUAUACCUCCGUUGCUAACACCAUAUCUACUAAACCUACUUUCAUACACCCAAUAAGCCUCUCAUCUUCCCUUGCCAUAAGGCAAUGCCAAAUCAGGGGGUUCUCAAAUUGUUGGUCCCCUAGGUUUGCGUUGUAAAACCAGGGAGUCUAGGCAGCUAAGGUUUAAUUUGUUUGUUCCGUGUUACACAUUAUGGUCAUGAACUUGGGUUUGUCGGCGACGGAGUGUGGUGUAUUUGGCAUCAUUACACGUUUGUGAUGGUGGUGUGUUGGGGCCGUGAAGGUGGCGAAAGAUGAGCACGUGGUAGUGAUAGUAGUGAUGGGCGGGCAUAUUGUGGGUGUUGUGGCAUAGGUCUGCAUUGGGUUGGGAUGUUGUGGGAUUUUUCAAUUUUUCAAUCUUUGUUACAUUUUUUAAUAUCAAUAGUUAUUUAUUUUUAAUAGUACUGAUGUAAUUUUCUAUAGGCCAUGCACUUCACAUGCUUUACUGAUGGACUUUUGGACGGAUACUGUCCGAAAGUCCUUGUGUUGCGUAUUUUACCAAACAUUUGGGAUGGGUGUGCCAAAUAUAAAAAGUUUUGGGACCUUGCUGCACUUUUUGAAAAGGUUUAGGAUCGGGACUGCAAUUAUCCCUGCUGGAUUUAAACCUUAUUUUUAAAAUGUGUAAGUGGCCCCAUUUACUUAGAGGAUAAAUUCAUGGUUGAUCGAAUGAAUAGAAACUGAGGUCUUUUCACCUAUUUCCAUUUUUUCUCUUUUAGAAAGUACUGCUUAUGGGAAGAGUAGAAUAAUUACUGUCCAUGGGAAUACCAAAGCUUAAUUUUAAUUUUUGGCAUAUUUAGAGCCUGGAACCUUAAUUAGUGAUAUAUUAUGUUAAUGUGGCAGUUUUUGAGGUUCCAAUUGAGUUUUAAAUGUUAGAUUAACUUAAGUAAUGGAGAUCUAAUUAGACCUAAAUAAUGAUCUGUGAAAAAUGAAAGUUGUUGGAUAAUAUCAAGAAAAGGACUUGCCUACAGUUUUUAUGCUACAAUUAUUGACAUCUUGAUUUUAUCUGAUUGUGUUGAUCAAGGGAUUUUACUAGUUAAGGCUUCAAGAACUGUUUUAACUUAUAUUGUCUCAUUUAAUAGCCAAGGUAAGUAAAGAGUCUCUAAGGCAAGACUUGGUACAAUGUGAAUGAGGUGACUCCUCUUGCAUGUUUUUCAUCCAAUUAAGGAAAUGUAUGUGUUUUUAACUAUUGAUAUGUGAUAUCUGACUUUUAUGCCAUAUGGGUUGGGGAAUAUGAAUGAUAUAUUAUUUAUAUCAUAUUUGUGAGAGACGAGAAAUUUCGAUGCAUUAUGAAUAUACAAGCGAUGUGCUUGGACCUUCUGGAAAAUGUCUUAUUUAUCUGCUACUAGGUCACUGAAGGCAUUGAGUGGUUUAUUAUGUUUAAUUCCAUGGGCAUGUGGAUUGUUAGACCACGAACAAUGAAUGAUGCACUGACGUGGUGAUAUCUAUUAUUCCAUGGGGCAAGUGGAUCAUUCUUCCGCCUUCUGAUUUGAUUUGACCACAAUGAUAUAGUUGUGGGAAUGUCUAGUACACAUGUAUAAGAGGAUAAAAUGUACAAAAAAGAUUAGCACAUGAUGACUUUGGUGUAAAGAUUUCUUUUAUUUGCUUGAAAUGUCUUCGUAGCUUAUUUUAAUCAUUCCAACCAUGUACAUUGAUUAUGCAUUCGUACCUUUACUUAUUGAGUUCUAACUCACCUAGUCUUGGUUUGUAGGUGAGUCUGGUGGGGAUGAUGUCUAUGAAAGCAUAGUGGUUACCAAACUCUAGGGGAUUUCAAUACUUGGUGUACAUGAGUAGAACCUGCUGGGAAUUCUUUUGUGGGACUGUCCAUGUUAUUUCUGCAUAAUCAUUUUGGUACAAAUAUACAAAGAAAACUGUAUAUGGUUUCAUUUUCUUGAUUUUUUUUUUUUUUUGACAGAUAUUGAAGUUUGAAUUUGUGCAGUUUCC
rnacentral:lncRNA from 1 species